CAGCGCCGCUCGAGGCUUCUUCGGGAGCGAUCGAAAGCGGGGCUCAGUCCAGUUCUUGAUCCAGGGGGCACUUUGGUGGUCGGACUUGAGGGAAGGCAGGGUUUUGUCGCAAGGGUCUCGAUUGGGGUAGGGGUUUCGCGAGGGGAAGGUGGCCGAGGAGGAGAAGCGGCAGCAACGGCAGCGGCGAAGGGGGAGGAGGAGUCGAGGGAAAUGGAGGCGGGAGAAGGAGGCGUGGAGGGAGUCGAAGAGGGUGGUGGAGUGAAGCUGGAGUCCGGCCAUUGGGCCGGGAUUUGGAUGGGAAGAAGGGGUUUUAAGAGGACAUGCGAU
rnacentral:lncRNA from 1 species